UACGUAGGGGGCAAGCGUUGUCCGGAAUCAUUGGGCGUAAAGAGCGUGUAGGUGGUGCCCUAAGUCUGUUGUGAAAUCUCCCGGCUUAACUGGGAGGGUGCGGUGGAAACUGGGGUGCUUGAGUGUGGGAGAGGUAAGCGGAAUCCUGGUGUAGCGGUGAAAUGCGUAGAUAUCAGGAGGAACACCGGUGGUGUAGACGGCUUACUGGACCACGACUGACACUGAGGCACGAAAGCGUGGGGAGCAAACAGG
rnacentral:rRNA from 1 species